rnacentral:rRNA from 1 species
GNUUUACNCAUGCAAGUCGAACGGUAGGGGGGGCAACCCCUCGAGAGUGGCGAGCGGGUGAGUAAUAUAUCGGAACGUGCCCAGUCGUGGGGGAUAACGUAGCGAAAGUUACGCUAAUACCGCAUACGAUCUACGGAUGAAAGCGGGGGACCGUAAGGCCUCGCGCGAUUGGAGCGGCCGAUAUCAGAUUAGGUAGUUGGUGGGGUAAAGGCUCACCAAGCCAACGAUCUGUAGCUGGUCUGAGAGGACGACCAGCCACACUGGAACUGAGACACGGUCCAGACUCCUACGGGAGGCAGCAGUGGGGAAUUUUGGACAAUGGACGCAAGUCUGAUCCAGCCAUUCCGCGUGCAGGAUGAAGGCCCUCGGGUUGUAAACUGCUUUUGUACGGAACGAAAAGGUCUCUCUUAAUACGAGGGGUUCAUGACGGUACCGUAAGAAUAAGCACCGGCUAACUACGUGCCAGCAGCCGCGGUAAUACGUAGGGUGCAAGCGUUAAUCGGAAUUACUGGGCGUAAAGCGUGCGCAGGCGGUUAUGUAAGACAGAGGUGAAAUCCCCGGGCUCAACCUGGGAACUGCCUUUGUGACUGCAUAGCUAGAGUACGGUAGAGGGGGAUGGAAUUCCGCGUGUAGCAGUGAAAUGCGUAGAUAUGCGGAGGAACACCGAUGGCGAAGGCAAUCCCCUGGACCUGUACUGACGCUCAUGCACGAAAGCGUGGGGAGCAAACAGGAUUAGAUACCCUGGUAGUCCACGCCCUAAACGAUGUCAACUGGUUGUUGGGUCUUCACUGACUCAGUAACGAAGCUAACGCGUGAAGUUGA